AAAAUAAAUGCUAAAAAAAAUGAAGUACAAGAUUUGAAAUCAACAUAUUAAAAAUACUUUGAUCGAUGGAAGUAAUAGAUCCGAUAAUAAUACUGGUCAUAUGAUUUCCGUCUGUAACAGGAUAAAAAAAACCUCAUAA